rnacentral:tRNA from 1 species
AGGGAAAAAGCUCAGUGGUGAGCAUCGGUCUUUUAACUCAAAGGUCGUGGGUUCGAUCCCCGGCUUCCCCG